rnacentral:rRNA from 1 species
AACGAACGCUGGCGGCAUGCCUAACACAUGCAAGUCGAACGAUACCGUCGGGUCUAGUUUCGCACGGGUGCGUAACGCGUGGGAGCCUGCGCUUAGCGUCGGAAUAACGCCCCGAAAUGGUGGCUAAUACCGGGUAAGGUCGUCGGACCAAAGAUUUGUCGCCUAUGUAUGGGGCCGCGUUUGGUUAGCUAGUUGGUAGGGUAAGAGCCUAGCAAGGGGACGAUCCAUAGCUGGGCGGGGAGGAUGAUCAGCCACACUGGGACGGAGAGACGGCCCAGACUACUACGGGAGGCAGCGGUGGAGCAUAUUGGACAAUGGGCGAGAGCCUGAUCCAGCCAUGCGGGGUGAGUGACGCAGGCCCUAGGGUUGUAAAGCUCUUUUACCUGUGAUGAUAAUGACAGUACCGGGAGAAUAAGCGCCGGCUAACUACGUG